CAGGACUUCAGACCACUUAAGAACAAUGGUCACAGAAAGAGACCAGGUGUUAGAGCUUAAGAAGGAGCCUUGUGCAUCUUGCUAAGGAAACUUCAGUCUCUGUGCUAGUAUUACUCUGGCAAUGGGCUGACUGCUGAAGGAACUUGACCGCAGUUUCAGCAGUGUCCUUAGAACGUAACAGGAUGAGGCAAACAAGGCUGUUAUUUCUGGACACAGUAAUCCUUCAGCAAUACAAUUACCAAGUUAUUCAACAUGGAAGGCUUUGCCAAGACAGUGGUGGCUGGGAUUUGACCCUCUAAGUGUGAGGGUCAUCCAUUCCUUUAUUAGCAAAUAUUCAUGAAUGCCCACUAUGUGCAACACACGGUGCUUGGUGCAAGCAUACAGUGAUGAAUCAAGUAGAGAAGGCCCUGCCCUUAUGGAGCUUACAGCCUGGCUGUGAGAUUUUUGGAAAAGAAAAUAAACCUACAGUUAAAAGAAAAAAGAAAACAAUGAAAAUAGAAGCUGAGCUUAGCUGAGGAUAUGAAUAACGAAAAGCAACCACCUUACCGCAAAACAACUCUAAGAAGUAGGAUUAUCAUCACUCAAUUUACAGGCAUCCAUGUCCUCCAGGAUAUAAAGGAAGAAGUUGAGGGAUGGAUGCAGAGUAUACUAUUCUCCACCAUUACAAAUUGGGCACCUUUGCUUUUGAAUGAGUGACCACAGCCCUGGAAACUUGUAUGCUUUGCUAAUUGAGGGCAGAUGAGCCUCAGGUCAAUCCCCCAUCAAUUAUCCACUCAACAACAAUAAAAUGCUAACUUGUAUGCCCUAACCCAGUUUGUUUAAUUAUUUGGAAGUGAUUUUGUAUCUAAACAACCCACACACUGGACAUAAGCAAUCCUGGAUAAAAUAGAAGUUUAUUAAACUCAUCUUCAUAUUUACAUAAAUUAUUUUUUAAAAAGACACCAUCUAGGCCAAGACCAGUUUUAUUUUUCCCUUCAAAGAAUAAUGUUGAGGAUCAAUUUCUCCAGCUUAACAUCACCAGCCUUGGCAGCAGCUCAUAUUUGGAAUAUAAAUGAUGUCAUCUGGUUGGCCUUUUCCCAUCACAAACAGUAAAUCUCUAAAUCUGGAGAGAUCUUUUAUUUGGUUACACAUAUUGUACAGCAUCAAGGGGUUAGAACACAUGUGCUAGAGAUUAUUAAAAUCAUCUGGAGGAGAAUGGCUUAUUAUUGGAAAGCCCAGAACUUAUGACCCUUUCAUGCCUGGUGUCUCCAUCAACUCUUCUUUCGCUCCUACCUUUUCAAAGAAAUAAUUGUGGCCGAUUGGCCCAUGAUUAUUUGCAUACUAAGGUUUUUCUGGUGCACCAUGCCUCUUCUCUGGAAAAAGAUAUCCCUAGCAGAGUAUAGAGAAAGGGGAACAGGAUUAGGAAUCAGAAAGCCAGUCACAGCAACAUGCCAAAAUAUGACUUUGGGUAACACAUUUGAACUCUACUAAUUUCACUCUCUCAUCUAUAAAAUGAAAAUAAUAAUAACCAGCCUCACAGGAAUUUUUUAGAUAGAUAGUUUUUUAAAAAGUCAUUGAAUAUCUGUUUAUCACUGUAUAAUUUGCUAAAAUCUUUCAAUUACAUUAGCAUUAGUCUUACCUAGCACAAGAAAGACACUCAACAGAUAUUUGUUGAAUAGCAUGUAAAUUGGUGAUAUUAUAGUUUGAUGGAUUCUGAGUCGUUAAGGUAUCUAUCACACCUCUGAACUUAGUUUUCUUUAUUUAUAAUGUGUAUUCAACUGUAUCUCUUUUUAGGGUUGUUGUAAGAGAUAAAGAAAAUAACAUACAUGAAGUAUCAGUUUCGGGCACUUUGGUGUGUACUUGAGAAAGAGGUUUCCUUUUCUCUGAUCGCUUCUUCUUUCAGAGCUUCAUUCUUCUCAUUCAACAGAAUUGGUCAUAAUUAUAACAUUCUACUUGUUGAGGAGAUAGCUGUGGGGCAAAGAGAACAGGGGGGCCAAGCUUUGGUCCUAAUUUUCCAUCUUCCCAGUUGUGUGAACUUUGACAAUUUGGGGGAGUCUGUUUCCCCAUUUGAAAAAUAAGGAGCUUGUCUAGAUCUGAAGUUCCCAAAUUUUUGAAGUUUAUAGAGCAAACAAACAAAUAAACAAACAACAACAACAACAACAACAAAAGACCAGUACCAACCAGGAGCCUAACAUAACAUGGUCAAUUUUUUGAUCUGAGAAAUAGAUUUUUGAAAAAUAACUGUCACUUACCAUUACAAUCAUUUCAAAUUAAAGGACAAGGAACUCCAAAAAAGAAAAAAAAGAAAAAUUAUGAAAUAUAAGACAUGACUCUAAAAUGAUUACAUUAACCUCAUGGGGAAAGAUGCUGAAUCGUCUUAUUGUCCUUAUUUUUUUCUCAUUUUUCCACAGACCUGUGAAAACUUGUUGUGGACCAACAUGGGUCUUCAGAGUAGUACUUGGGAACCUGUACUGUUCUGUAUUGUGGACCAACAUGGGUCUUCAGAGUAGCACUUGGGAACCACUGGGAUGCAUGACAUGGAAGGGCUCUUCUAGCACUAUGUCCUGUGAUUCUAUCAUAAUUCCACCAUGGUGAAAAGCUGGGAUACUUAAACAACAGUUUGUUUAGGUGAAAUCAGUAAAACAAUGAUCUGAUUCAGCUAAGAAGCUGAUCCCUGAAGUCAUUUUGCUGAACUGAAUGACUCUAGAUCUUGAUAGGAAGUAUAAUUUAGUCAAAACAAUCUAAAUUGUUAUGUGUGGAUUGACACAUAUGAGUUGUUCCCGCAGGUCUUCAAAAUACUUCCUUGCCCCUAAUGAGGCUGACUCAGGCUUUGUUCCCCACCAACUAUAAAUUGAUAAGUAUCACACUUGUACCUACCUACAUCAAAAUGAGAGAGAUAUGUGAGUGAGCCAAACAUAUCCAAAGCAUUCCUAAUUCAGGCACUAUGUGCUCACCCUGAGGUUAGCUUCUCUGACACCUUCCACUCUCUAAUCUUGAGCCAAAAUAUGUCUCUACACUCUACUGUGGUGAUCUCAAAGUCCCUGUAUGAAUGCCUCAUAUUUUAUCACCAAAAUUCUAAAUAGAGACUCUCUGUUUCAUGGUUAGCACUCAUUUCUACCAAGCUUGAUCAUCUGAGGUGGACCAAAUUAGAAAUAGGCAAGCAAAAUAGAGGUAGGAGAAGCUAUUAAUACAGGUCAGGAAGAGAUUAGUUUUGGCUGGGUGCUGUGGCUCACAGCUGUAAUCCUAGCAUUUUGGGAAGCUGAGGUGGGCGGAUCACUUGAGGUCAGGAGUUUGAGACCAGCCUGGCCAACAUGGUGAAUUUCCAUCUCAACUAAAAAUAGAAAAAUCAGCUGGGCAUAGUGGAAGGCACCUGUAAUCUCAGCUACUUGGCAGGCUGAGGCAGGAGAAUCACUUGAACCCAGGAGGCAGAAGUUGCAGUGAGCUGAGAUUGCACCACUGCACUCCAUCCUGGGCAACAGAGUGAGACUCCAUCUCAAAAAUAAAUAAAUAAACAAAUAUAGACAGGUCAGGAGUUGUGGGUUGUGGCUUUGCUUGACUUCACAGAAGAAAGAGAGAAAAAUCAAACAGAACUAACUGUAAGCUACUGAGGACAAUAAUAGAUGUUCAUAUCUUUGGUUCUAAGUCAUCAAGAAAAGUUUAAACUAUGUACAAGAACCUUCUCAAGGAAGCAGAUAAUUCAUUGAGAUAGAUGCUUGGGGGUGAGGGCAAACCUCAGCUAUCAGGAAAUUCAUCUCAAGUUAGCAAACGUGAAUUCUCCUGUGAUCCUAGGGUAAUGAAGUAGUAACAGCAAUAGAAACAACCAUAAUAAUGGCUGGCUACUGCAUUGUACUCUGCCUCUUAGGAGUACUUCCAUUUUCUCAUUUAAUAUUCAGAUCAACCCCAUGAGGAACAAAUAAUAAUUUUUAUUAUCCACUCAUUUCUCCAAGUGAGGAAAUCAAAGCUCAGCUUGGUUAAGUAGCUUGCCAAGACAGCAGAGCUAGUCAGUGGCAGAGUAAGAAUGCAAACCCUAGUCUUCUAACUUGAAGCCCAGUGCAUUUCCCACCCUCUGAUCUUCUCUCAUCCUUAUAAAUAGCCAUAAGACUAAGUAGUUCAAAAAUAUCUUCUUUCUGGUUCUCAGGCCCAUUACAAAUGCCACUUGCCCUGGGUAGGAAAAUAAAGCCCAAGCUCUUUGCUGGACUAUGUGCUAAGUCCUUGGCGCCCAGAAAUAACCUCCUGGAGACUAUGGGCCUUAUAUUUACCGCAAAGCAGUGGGUAAAUAACUAGUUGGUGUUUUAGUGUUUUGUGGUCACUUAAUCUGUUGUGUUGCUUCCCAAGACUCUGAAGGUUUCCUUUUUCAGUUAAUUCUUAUUUACGUUUCUGAGGUCUGUGUUGUUUUGGGUUUGGUUCAUUGGAUGUUUUUCUUGGAAUGUGUUGCCAUUGGCUUCAGGAUGUUCCUGCUCUGCUAUUUCAUGGAAUUUUCCCCGAGUGUGGAUUGCUAUGUAUUUCUUCGGGGCAGUGAGCCAAGGCAGUGCUGGUAUGUAAUCUGUUCCUCUGGCCAGAAGACUUCUUGUCACCCAUCCACAUGGUGCUUGGUUGUAUUUCUCCACUGAUAAUUCCCCUCCAUCUGUUAAUGUGCAG
rnacentral:lncRNA from 10 species